rnacentral:lncRNA from 1 species
UAUCCAAGAUGCGUCUUCCAGAUAACUUGGGCGAUGAAACUGGGACGGGGACUCUGAAACUCAGUGGGACUGAGUGCCUUUACUUGCAGUAACUGGGUACAAUGGGGUGUGGAGUGAUCGGGCGACGCCUAUCUCGCCGCCCCAGCUUCUCACGCCGCAGAAUAAAAGAUUCGACCCCCCCUCCCCUCCCCACGCCAAAAAAGCACACCACAACACCGUAUGGCCGAAGCACACGUUUUUUGCACCUUGAUUGAGUGAAUGGGGAAUAACUGUGCAACAGUACCCGAUGUGACCUAAUUAAAACAAAAAAGAAAAAAGAAAGAAACAACAACAACAACAUGGAAACGCAGUCCUUUCCCCCAUGCCCAUCACCAAAUGAUCCUAAGAAUGAAACGGAAGCUAAAAGGAGGCAGUGUGAAUAACGAUUCCCUGCUCAGUCGGUUCCUGAGAGGAUGGACGGCAACUCUUUUGAUUUCCAUUCAAAGCCUCUCCGCUGCGGCCGAGGCAGUAGGUGAAAAACCAGGAGGCAGCAGCCGUCGGGGGCCCCCCCUUUUGCCGGUCAGCCAAGAAUAAAAGGGCGAGUGGCGCUUUUACUGCUGACCAGGCGAGAGGUUGCCCUCUCCAUCUGAGCAUGGAGGGGUUCGAAGGGCUCUUUACUGUGACAGGCUGGAGGGCUCCGGGCAGGCGCCACUACAUCGAUUGUCUAACGAUCUAUAGGCGAGGGCCGUUCCUCCUCUCACAAGAAUGCUCGGGCACACGGAGGCUUCUCCUCUCUCAGGUGAGGCUGGCGAGGAGCCGCAGCAGCGUCGCCGCCGCCGCCGCCUCUACGUGCCGCCUCUGGGCCUGUCAGAGACCUUGGUCGCCGGAGGGCUUCCCGUCGGCCUCCAAGAGACGUGGGCUCCCUCCCUAGCGGAGCUCUGGGGGUGAGGUGAGCCGCUUAAAGGAGCGGCAAAGGGAUAGCCCCAACGGGCUCCGAGACUUCGCCUUUGCGAGCUCUCCGCUGAAAGAGCCCCUGUGUGACCGAGGAAACAGCAGCCUUGUUGUGCGGCGUCGAUAAAUAGUCAAUGAAGUCAUUGUGAGGCAAGGAAAAAAAAUUAAAAUAAAAUGGCAGAGCCCCCGCGCGCUCA